CCCGAUUGGCGUUUCCAUGGACAACACCCGUCUCGCCAUCGCCUCCAUCGGCAAGCUCAUGUUCGCGCAGUUCUCCGAGCUCGUUAACGACUUCUACAACAACGGGCUGCCCUCUAACCUGUCCGGGGGACGGAACCCGAGCCUGGAUUAUGGCUUCAAGGGAGCCGAGAUCGCCAUGGCCUCAUACUGCUCGGAGCUGCAGUUCCUUGCCAACCCUGUGACCAACCAUGUCGAGAGCGCGGAGCAACACAACCAGGACGUGAACUCCUUGGGCCUGAUCUCGUCGAGGAAGACUGCCGAGGCCGUUGACGUGCUGAAGCUCAUGUCCUCCACCUUCCUGGUCGCCCUGUGCCAGGCCAUCGACCUGAGGCACCUGGAAGAGAACCUCAAGAGCGUGGUCAAGAACACGGUGAACCAAGUGGCCAAGAAGGUCCUCUACGUUGGGUCCAACGGCGAGCUCCACCCGUCGCGGUUCAGCGAGAAAGACCUGAUCAAGGUGGUCGACCGGGAGCACGUCUUCGCCUACAUUGAUGACCCCUGCAGCGCCACGUACCCCCUGAUGCAGAAGCUGAGGCAGGUCCUCGUGGACCAUGCACUGGACGACGUCGACCGGGAGAAGAACCCCAGCACCUCCAUCUUCCAGAAGAUUGGGGCUUUCGAGGAGCAGCUCAAGGCACUCCUCCCGAAGGAGGUUGAGAACGCGAGAGCUCAGUUCGAGAGCGGGAACUCGGCGAUCGCUAACAAGAUCAGGGGGUGCAGGUCGUACCCAUUGUACAGGUUCGUGAGGGAAGAGCUCGGGACCGGUUUGCUCACGGGGGAGAAGGUCGGCUCACCGGGCGAGGACUUUGAUCUGGUGUUCUCCGCCAUGUGCGAGGGCAAGCUGAUCGAUCCUUUGCUGGAGUGCUUGAAGGACUGGGAUGGUGCUCCGCUUCCCAUCUGUUAGGAACUUUUCCAAAUCCUGAAGACUGCCUCAUAAUUUAAUUUGCCCUAUUCUUGGUAUGUACUUAGAGAGUUUUUCAUGGUCGAGAAACUGCGGUUAAAAUUGUAAUGUCUCUUAUGUCUUUUGUUCAGUUCUUUCUUAUUCAAACCCCCCCACCAGGAUGUCUAUUUGUACUUGGAACUUCAUCAGUGUAACAACAAUGUUGAAACACGUGAAGGAAAAUAUUAUACAACAUACAUUUCAUUACAUUCUUCAUUCUUAUAAAGGAUCGCGACAUUUGCUCUGCAUUGUGAGCUAAUUGUUAUCGGGUACAUCUUAUUGUAUCUCCCAACUUGACCCUACUAAAUGUAGAAUUGGAAUGAACAUGUAUUUCUUAAAGGGAGCUAACCUCAUUAGGAAUUUGUGUGGACUUAUCCUACUCGAUCAAGUGGGUUGCGUAUUAAGAGUCAAUAUUAUAUCUAAGUUCAUGAAAAGGAACACGUUAAUAUAACGUGAAAACACAGUCAUACAAUAUAUGCAUCGUGAUUGAUUUAGUCUGUCACAUUACUUUAAUUAAAUGAAUGUAUAUCAUUUUAGGGCUUCUCAUGAAUAAAAAAGUUAAAGGCUACACAUCUUUGCUUAGGCCCACAAUGAUGCCCGACCAACCUCUUUGGCAUGACUUUUGGAAGAGGUUGACCUAUCGAGCAUGAAUUUCUAUGUGGGUUGGCCCGAAAAGGCAAUAAAUCUUUUGGGAUGGGACGUAUAUUCCAAAUUGAGCAGUUACCUUGAGAGUAGGAUGACUCUAUGAUUGGCAAUUAUGAGAGAUUGUUCCAAGACAUAUAUCACAACUUUGGAUUUUCCUCGAUGCACUCUGCCUAACCCAUGUGGAGGUUUCUGCCCAAAAUGGUAACCUAGCUAGCAAAACUGAAGUGUCAUAUGGAUCUAUUUAGGACAUGUCACAGUCGAUUCCUAGUGUUCGAACCUCAAAAUUGUGGCCCCAAAGCUGAAGAGAAUCUCAAGGAGUGCCGGAUACCUGGAGUGCCAAAAUUUGGCAUGAAGGGACAAUUAAAUGCCAAAAGUUAGGAAAGUGACACUUGAGUGCCAAAAUUGAAGCAAAAUUGAUCACUUAAGUGGCAUUCCGGCCAAAAUGCUGACGUGGCGAUUUUCUGGCAAAAUAAGUGCAAAAGGGCGUUAUUUUGACGUUGACGUGGUAAAAAAUUAAUAUAAAAAUUAGUUAAAUAAAUUUAAAACUAAAUUUAUUUAAAACAUUUUAAAAUAAAAAUACAAAUAUUAAACAAUUAAAAAUUAAAAAUUACAUUUAUUUAUUUAUUUUAAAAAAAGGGGGAAGGGGUGACUAAAGGCUGAGCCAUCGCCAUCGCCAUCGCUGCCUCCCCACCGCCGACGGGAAGGACCGGCGAUGGAGGGGGGAGGGUCGGCUAGAGUCGCCGAGCCCUUGCCAGGGGCCGACGACCUCGGUCGACCGGCGGCGAGGACCUGCAAGCCCUCGCUCCCAAUCUGGGAGAGGGUCGCGGUCCUUGCCUAAAUCCCCGCCCUUGCUCGACCGAGCCAAGGGCCACUGCCCGCUAAGGUUCGCAACCCUCGCCUAGAUCGGGGGCAAGGGCUCGCAAGCCCUCCCCCGGCCGGGCCAAGGGCCAUCGCCCGCUGAUGAACUUCAACAUAAAAAGUUUCAAAUGAUAUAAUAAAAAAGAUUGUUAUUUGUUUAUGCAUAAGUCCCAUCAAAUGAAACCGUAGGAAUCGGAAACAAAAGGGCAAUGAGAUCUUGGGAAAACUCGUAAAAUAAUAGUUGCAAUACAUUUGAGAGAGAGAUAGAUUCCCUCCAAGUUCUUGGUAUAGAUUAUGAAGUGACGAGCACAUAUGCAUGUCCGAAUCACUUCUUAAUGUCCAAAGGGUUCCAAAUUCCAACGUAAUGAGGUAUCAAUGCCAUUACAUGUUACUUUAAUCAACUCUUGUACAUGUGGAUGUCAAGUCACGAGCGGUUCCGUGUUGGAAGACAUGGAGCAUGAGUCAUCAAAAAAUGGAUCUUGAAGCAGAGAAUCCAUACUUUUCUGAAAGUUGGAGGUAGAAUUCAAGUUGAAAUUGAUGAAAGCAGGUAACCACGUUUGAACUUCAAUUUACUAUUAACUCGACGGUAAACCCACACUACCUUCCAUGCCCUUAUGUGCGCUUCGCUAUUAUCAAACCAUAACUCAUCGAAUUUGUAUAUGUUGGAGAAAACUUCAUUAUUUGUUUUGAAGCUGACAAAAUGUUUCCAUCAAUCUAGUCUGAAGACUUGCAGACUCUUUCAUCAAAGUCUGAAGACCGCCAGACUACCAGACUCAAGAUUUAAAGUUUGCCCUCAUUGAUAGUUUCUAGAACGUCGAAGAAGAUUUAUCCAGAAUUGAGUAUUUCUUUACGGAUUUGAUUCGAGCAGCUAAAGAAGAUCUCACGGCUGGAGAAAGCAUCUCAAGAUCUAUUAUUCAUUUUUGAUUAAUUCGGGUAAUUUGGAUCCGUUGAUUGGCAAAGUAUACUUUGAAAGUUCUACUUAUGGAAACCUAGAUCCUGAUUGUAUGGACGAGUAAGAUUGGUGGGCUAUCAUCACAUUCCUUAAGUAAAUCAAGAUCUCCCUAAAUUGAUUAUGUCCAACGGGUAGAUUGAAAGAACUCCUUUGAAAGGUGCCAACGGUUAUGAAGGCAUGGAGGAGUAUAUAAGGAAGACGCUCUAGUUAUUCGAGUGUGUGCGUGAUAGAUAAAUUCCAAAGUCUGAAACUCCUUGUUCUUUGCUGAUUCAAAUGUUGAGCGUAAAUUUGUACUCAAAAGAGAGUUUAUGUACUCAUUUAAAUUGAAGUAUUUUUUACUUCAGAGUUAAUGAUCCAUAGCUAGUAUGUUGGCUCCAGGUUUGGUUGAAGGACAAAGCAACACCAGACCGCCUUAUUUUGAUGGAAAUGAAUACAAUAUAUGGAAAACAAGAUGAAAGCAUUCUUAAGAUCGAAAGAUCCUUUGGAAUGGGAUGUGGUAGACAAAUGAAUCAUUCCUAAAGCUACAACAGUCUCAAAAAGGGGAAAAGAAGCUGUUGAAGCUAGCAAGAUGACUCAAGAAGAGAUAACCAAGAAACAAACUCUUGAUGCAAAAGCAAAUUAUUCCUUAUAUUGUGCAUUAUCUCCUAUUGAAUAUAAUAGAAUAUCUUCUUGUAAAACAGCUAAAGAAGUCUAGGAUAGGCUGCACAUCACCUAUGAAGGAACCGAUUGAGUGAAAAAAACUAGAAUCAAUAUUCUGCUCAGUCAAUAUGAAGCCUUCAAGAUGAAAUUAGGAGAAUCUACCACUGACAUGUUUAGUCGUUUUACAGAGAUCGAGAAUGGUCUUGAGUAUCAAGGUCAACCAAUCUCUAGACCCAUGAAAGUUAACAAACUGUUGCGUGGACUUUUCAAAGAUUGGAAUCACGUAAAGACCUCAAUAAGGGAGACACAAAGGAGCAUGUCACUCUCCAUUGACGAAUUGGUUGGCACUCUUCAGUCUUAUGAAGUGGAGCAAAUCAAUGAAGAUGAAAAUCCCAAAGUUAAAAAAAAAAAAAAAAAAAAAAAAAAAAAAAAAAAAAAACCAUUGCUUUAAAAUCUAAUGAUGAUUCUGAUGUUACAGAUUCUGAAGACGAUAUGGACGAUGAAGAGAUUGCUCUCAUGAUAAGAAGGUUCAGAAAAUUGAAUAAAAAGGGAAGAAGAUUCAAUUGGAAGAAACAAAAUUCUCAAAAGUUUCAAAAUAAAUGAGCUGAGGACAAUGAAUCCAAUAAAUAUGUGAUUUGUUUUGAAUACAAGAAAAAUGGACACAUCAGACCCAACUGUCCCUUGCUAAAGAAAAAGAAAGGAAAAGCUAAGAAAUACAGAAAUGCGCUCAAAGCAGAAACUUGGAGUGAUACCGAAUGCGAAGGGAGCGAUGAUGAUUAUGUUAAUAUUUGUCUAAUGGCACGAUCAGAAUCAGAUUCAGACUCUGAGACAGAUACAGACUCAGACUCAGAUAGUGAAAUCGAGGUAAGUAAUUUAAAAUUCCUACUAAAGUCUCUAAAUAUAUUGAUGAACUGUGUCUGAGUCUCAAAACCUCUCUUAAGAGGAUUUUCGAGCUAAAAAGGGAAAAUUCUGCACUGAAACAAUAGGAGUUGUUUGGAAAGAAAAUGUCGAAAAUUUAGAAAAAAAGUAUUAUUACUUUAAAAGAAAAUGCAGACUCUCUUUCAAAAGAAAACACACUUUUGAAAAAUGAUAUCUCAAGUAUUUCAAAAAGGUUUUCUAUAGGAUCUGAGAAAUUGGAAAAGAUUCUUUCAGCACAAAGACCUUACUUUAACAAAUCAGGAUUAGGAAUGACUUCUGAAACCAUUCCUCUAAUUGAUUUUCCAAAAGUAAAGGAAAGAAUCAAACAAAGACUUACAAAAGAUUUUUAUAGAAAUCAUUUUCAAAAAGUCUUUGUAAAACCUGUUGGCCAUAGUGCUCUUAAAUGUUCUAAGUGCAACAGCUCAGAACAUUUUGAGAAAGAAUGUCUCAUGGUUUGGAAACCUGUUAAGAAGGUUUGUGUAAAGACCAUAUAUUGCACUAACUCCAUUGGACCUAAGAAAAUGUGAGUACCAAAGAAAGUUUAAGUUUAUUUUUUAAAUGCAGGUCACUAUUAAGAAAAAAGUCAAAUGGUACUUGGAUAGUAGAUGCUCAAGACAUAUGAUAAGGGAAUGAAGUUGUUUUAUAAAGCUUAUGCAAGUUAACGGUGGAAAAGUCUCUUUUGGAGGAAAUAUCAAAUGAAGAAUUGUCGGAUGCGGUUAAGUAAAGAUUGGAAGCCUCACAAUUAACAACGUUUCCUUAGUGGAAGGACUCGACUACAACUUGCUGAGUAUCAGUCAACUGUGCGACACAGGUUUCAAAAUCAAUUUUCAAGAAUGAAUAUGUUCGGGAACCAGUAAAUACUUCUCUCAGACUUUCACGGGGCAAAGACAUGGGAACAUCUAUCUUUUGGACAUCAAACCAGAAAAAUCUCAAUGUCUAAUUUUAAUUCAAGAGGAAGCUAAUAUUUGGCAUAAAAAACUUGGCCAUAUCAACAUGAAGCAAAUAGUCAAGAUCUCUGCAAAGAAGCUUGUUCGUGAACUACCCAAUCUGACAUACCAAAAAUCUUAUCUUUGCACACCAUGCGUGUGGGGAAAACAUGUUAGAAGUUCUUUUAAACCAAUAAAUUAAGUUUCCACUAAUCGUGUACUGCAGCUCCUACAUAUGGAUCUUUUCGGACCAACUAGGACUCAGAGCAUUGGUGGAAAGAAAUAUUGCCUAGUAAUAGUGGAUGAUUAUUCACGAUUUACUUGGGUAUAUUUUUUGGCAAGUAAGUCUGAAACUUUUUCUUAUUUCAUAAAGUUUGCUAAGAAAAUACAAAAUGAGAAAUGAUAUGUUAUUUCAAGUAUCCGGACAGACCAUGGAGGUGAGUUUGAAAAUUAAGAUUUUGCUAAAUUCUGUGAUGAAUCUAGUUUUCAGCAUGUGUUCUCAUCUCCAUACACUCCAGAACAGAAUGGAGUUGUGGAAAUGAAGAAUAGAUCAUUGCAAGAAAUGACUAGAAAACUUUUAAUUGAAAGCAACAUUUCUUCUCGUUUCUACAGCAUGUUAUAUUAUUAAUAAGAGUCUUCUUAAGGCCUAUUAUGGAGAAAACUCCCUAUGAGUUGUUCAAAGGUAAGAAGCCAAUUGUUUCCUAUUUUCAUGUGUUUGAUUGCAAAUGUUUUAUAUUGAAAAAUGCAAAUGAUCGAACUGGUAAGUUUGAAGAAAAAUCAAACGAAUGAAUCUUCCUUGGAUAUUCAACCACCAGCAAAGUCUACAGAGUAUACAACAAAAAGACUCAAUCUGUGGAGGAAUCGAUAAAUGUCAAAUUUUAAGAUCUUAUACAAAAUCAAUCGAUCUAGACUCAACCUGAAGAAUCUAAACCUGCUCCAGACUCUACAAAGUCUAAAUCCUCAGAAGCAGCUCAGAUUUCAUAAGGUCAACAACGAAUGAUCGUUGAAGAAUUAAAUGAAGAAAAAGAUCAGCAGUUUGUCAGACUAACCAGCAACUGGAAGCACAAGUCUAGUAAUCCCAAAGAACUCAUUAUUGACGACAUUGAUGAAGGGAUUCAUACAAGAUCCAAAAGGCAUGAAGAGUCUAGCGUUGUAGCUCUUAUUUCUGAAAUAGAACCCAAGAGCAUAGAAGAAGCUUUAACUUAUGGAAGUUGGAUUGAAGCUAUGCAAGAAGAACUUAGGCAAUUCAGUAUUAACGAUGUCUAGGAAUUGACUCAUAAACGAAAAGGUAAAUCUGUUAUCGGAGCUAAAUGGGUUUUCAGGAACAAGAUGGACUAGAAAGGAAAAGUUAUAAGGAAUAAAGCAAGACUUGUAGCCAAAGGAUAUAUGCAAGAAGAAGGGAUAGACUAUGAUGAGACUUACGCUCCAGUAGCAAGGUUAGAAGCAAUUAGAUUAUUACUUGCUUUUGUUUGUUAUAAGAAUUUCAGGUUAUUUCAAAUGGACGUUAAAAGUGCAUUUCUAAAUGGAUUUAUCCAAGAGGAAGUCUAUGUGGAACAACCUCCCGGUUUUGAAGACCCAAGGAAAUCAGACUCUAUAUUCAAACUGAAAAAUGCGCUAUAUGGUUUAAAGCAAGCACCUCGAGCUUGGUACGACGGGUUAAGUAAGUUUUUAAUCCAAAAUGACUUUGUUAAAGGUAAAGUAGACACUACCUUGUUUAUUAAAAGAGAAAGUAAAAACUUUUUAAUAGUUCAAAUCUAUGUUGAUGAUAUUAUUUUUGGAUCACCUAACGAAAUUAUGUGCAAGAAAUUUUCUAAGUCUAUGAAGGAUGAAUUCGAGAUGAGCAUGAUGGGUGAACUAUCCUUCUUUUUCGGACUACAAGUAAAACAAUUGAAAAAAGGGACUUUCAUUCACCAAGAAAAAUAUGCUAAAGAACUUGUUAAAAUGUUCAAUUUGGAGAAUUGCAAAAAGACUAAUAUACCAAUGUCAAGUUCUUCGAAAUUGGACAAAGAUGAAGGAGGAAAGAAAGUUGACCAAAAGCUAUACAUGAGUAUCAUUGGUUCACUUCUUUAUCUUACUGUCUCUAGACCUGACAUUUUGUUUAGUGUUUGUAUUUGUGCCAGAUUUCAAUCAGAUCCCAAAGAAUCUCAUCUAAGUGCUGCGAAACGCAUCAUCAAAUACGUUGCAACAACCUCUAAUUUGGGUCUCUGGUAUCCUAAAGAAUGAGACUUUACUCUCCUUGGAUAUUCAGACGUAGAUCUAGCAGGAUGUAGAGUUGAUAGAAAGAGCACCUUGACCACUUGUCAAUUGCUUGGUAAUAGGACAGUAUCUUGGUUUUCAAGGAAGCAAAGUAUUGUAGCUCUUUCAAUAGCAGAAGCAGAGUAUGUGGCUCUUGGAAGUUGUUGUUCUCAAAUCUUAUGAAUAAAACAAUAGCUAAGAGACUUUGGAAUCGAAGACUCAUGCACUGAGAUCAAAUGUGACAACAUUAGCGCAAUUAAUCUCACCAAGAAUCCCAUUCUUCAUUCAAGAGCAAAGCAUAUAGAGAUUCGACAUCACUUUAUUAGAGACUUUGUUCAGAAUGGAGAAGUCUUGAUUCAAUUCAUUGACUCAAAGAAUCAGCUGGCGGAUAUUUUUACAAAGCCAUUGGAGAAAAGUCAAUUUGAGUCUAUUCGAUUCAAACUUAAUAUCUUAAAUUCUGAAGAAGUUCAGACUCAGUGAUAAAAGUCUAAAGAUGCUCAGACUCAGAAGAUAAAGAAUCACGACUAUAAAUUAUUUCAGUUUUAGAAAUUUAUCUUUUGAAUAAAAAACUCGAAAAGGUACAUUUGUUUAUUAAUCUGUAAUGGAUUGAUCUUAUCUUCCCAAGUUGUCAUAAUUAUAGCAAUCCUUCCUUUUCGAAAAAGAAGUUAUCUUUUGAAAUGACAGUUAUCUAUUUUCAAAAAGACAAUUAUUUUUUAAAAGGCAUUUUCUAUUUUUCCUUUUACAACUAUCCGUAUACCCCAUUUCAAUUGCCUUAUAUACUGAUCGUCUUCUUCACGAACCCAAGAAGCAAAAAACUUCACUUUCUUACUUUUACUCUCUAGUUUAAUCCUCAAAAUUUUCAUCUUUCUCGCGAAUCGAGUUUGAAAUCUCUCAAAUACUGUGACAAUGACUUCACAAAGAAAGUACUCAAGGAUUGCAAGCAGGGGACCACAGCAUAUGCGUGAGGGUCCUACACACUUUGAUCUGAUCGAGGAAGAAGAAUCUUCAAGGCAACUGCAGAAUCCACAACAUUCUCAACCGCGUCAUUCUCCUCGCGCUAGACCACAGGAUGCUCAACAACAAGCGGAGGAAGAAAUUAUUGAGGAUGCAGAACCCGUAAGAACUCUAAAGCCUGCUUUUACCUUCAAACUCUACUCUACCUUAAAGGUGGAGGUUCUGCUUUGAACUUUAUUGAUGAAUUUUUGAAAGAAAAUGGGUACCGAAAUGAAACCCACUUUUUACGAACGAUGGAACGUUUGUGAAUUGCUCCUGCGGGCUUGGUAGAAAGAGCUUUUGCGAAUAUCCCAAGUGAUCCUCGUGUUGGAGGACAUAGUCAACCUGAUGGAAAUGAUGAUGAAAAGAUGUUCACUCAUUUUAAGCCUAGAAUGGGUGUCGCUGCGAAUAUUCGAGGAAAAAGGCCAGAUUUGUUUCAUUCUGAGGAACAUAAGCGACUUUACUCUAAGUUGCUGAAGCGAGGGGUGAUGAAUCCAAGGAGUGUGGAUUUUGAUUUUCUCGACUCUCUAAACGUAAAGUUGCGAGAGAAAUUCACUUUACUUCAACUUGAACGAUUUUGCUCUGAAACAAUAGUAGCUCAUCCAUAACUUACUACAUAUUUCUAUUCCAAUCUAAGCUUUUUGGAUGUGAAUAGAUUUUCCUUCAGUGUUAGAGACUAGGAUUAUGUGGUUGAUAUGGACAUUCUGGCUAAUGUGAUUGGAGUAGAGAGAGGGGAAUUCCAAUCAAUUAGUGUGUCUAUUGGUCGUGCGACUGUAGAGCUUGUUCGGGAUGGAAUGACAGAAGGACGAAUUUCGUACUUGAGGAUGAAUGCCUCAAAUAUCUUGCUUCACAAGAUUGUGAUCAAUUUUCUUAGACCCAAAUCGACUUCAAAGACUAACGUCUCCAAUUCGAAAGCAAAGCUGAUGUAUGCUAUCAAUGCUGGCAAAAAGUUCUCUCUGUCACACACUAUCAUGUUUCACAUGUAUAGAUCGAUGGUGAAGGACAAGGGCCAACUUCCUUAUUUAGCACUUGUCACUAAGUUAUUUAGACAUUUUAAUAUUCAGCCUCCCAAAAUUCUGUGUGUUCGAACCUAUGAUCAAAUGGUGGUGGGACUGAAGAUGGUUUCUAAAAUGUGUCUGAAGGAGCUGAACAAUGCUUUGGAGCGAUUUAAGGAGAAAACCCCUAUCAAGACUCAUCAAGUCUCUAUGGCUGUAAAACGGAAAGGUAAGGAGCCCAUGACAGCUUUAUCUAAGAAAAGGAGAGCACUCAUCUUGCAGGAUGAAGACUCUUGCCUUAAGGAACUUACAGCGUUUUAUCCAGAGACAGAAGAGAGAGAGGAUCAAGACAGAGAAGAAAUAGAGCAGAGGAGUAAAGAGAGGGAAUCGAUGAGGAAAGAAGCAGAGGAAGAAAGAACUGCAGAAGAAGAGAGAAGAGGAGAACAAGAAGAGACUGAGCAUGAAGAGUACUUCUCUCCACCUGAAGGCACUAAAACAUGGGGAGCUACUGAAAAAAGAGGUACAUCUUCAAUUGCUUUUACUAGUGAAGAUGUUAGUCAUUCUCCUGCUAAUCCAAAAGAUGUAUAUGCCUCUCAAUUUCCUGAGGAAGGUCAUGAGAUUUCAUCUCCAAAUCUGGAUGCUCAUGCUGAAAUGCCAUUAUCUGCCAAUACUCCACAAACUGAUCAUGCUGAAGCAAGCACUCAAACUGACAACUCAACAGAUUUUAAAAGAUUGAUUGAUGUUCUUAUGGAGAUGCGAGGCCAGAUUUAUGCUUUGGGAUGCGAAGUUCAAAACAUGCAGAAUGCCAGUCAAGCCUCUUUAGUUUCUUUGAACAAUCAAGUUCAGGCCCUUAAUCUUCAAGUUCAAGCAACUGCCAAGGGUGAGGAAGUAGCGCAACUGAAGGAGGAUUUGAGAAAGCUGGAGGAGACUGUCAAGUUGAUGGGAGAUUUCCAGCUUAUUCGCGUUCCAAAACAAUCUUAAUUUUAUCCAAUUCUCUUUUCGUCUCUACCUUUUUAAUGCUGAUAAAAAGGGGGAGAAGUUGAUGCAGAUUUGACUUUUGUUUGACUUUACUAUUGACUUUACUUUUGUUUGGUUGUGAUUGGUUUGGCUUGGACUAUGUUUUUGGUUUGGAUUGCUUGAUCGUUUGAUCGUUUAAUGCUUGCAAUAUCUUAAGCGUUGUUGGUGUUCAUGGUAAAGAUAGUUGUUUUUACAGGACUAACUCAUUUCCUGUGGAUGCAUAUUCGAUACUAUCUUUAUCCUAAUCCAUUUAUUUUUUUUAUGAGAUAUCCAUGUCUGCUUAAGUAUUGUCUUGCAGGUCAAAGUAUCUAAAUCUAUAGGAAAAUUUUGUCACCAUAAAAAAUGGGGAGAUGUUGGAGAAAAUUUCCUUAUUUGUUUUGAAGUUGACAAAAUGUUUCCAUCAGUCUAGUCUGAAGACUUGCAGACUCUUUCAUCAAAGUUUGAAGACCGCUAGACUGCCAGAUUCAAGAUUUAAAGUCUACCCUCAUUGACAGUUUCUAGACCGUCGAAGAAGAUUUAUCCAGAAUUGAGUAUUUCUUUAAGGAUUUGAUUCGAGCGGCUAAAGAAGAUCUCAUGGCUGGAGAAAGCAUCUCAAGAUCUAUUAUUCAUUUUUGAUUAAUUCGGGUAAUUUGGAUCUGUUGAUUGGCGAAAUAUACUUGGAAGGUUCUACUUAUGGAAACCUAGAUAUUGAUUGUAUGGGCGAGCAUGAUUGGUGGGCUAUCAUCACAUUCCUUAAGUAAUUUGAGAUCUCCCUAAAUUGAUUCUAUCCAACGGGUAGAUUGGAAGAACUCCUUUGGAAGGCGCCAACGGUUAUGAAGGCAUGGAGGAGUAUAUAAAGAAGAUGCUCUAGUUAUUCGAGUGUGUGCGCGAUAGAUAAAUUCCAAAGUCUGAAGCUCAUGAUAGAUAAAUUCCAAAGUCUGAAGCUCAUGAUAGAUAAAUUCCAAAGUCUGAAGCUCAUUGUUCUUUGCUGAUUCAAUUGUUGAGCGUAAAUUUGUACUCAAAAGAGAGUUUAUACAUUUGUGAGGCCUUGAGGAAGUGUAGCAGAGUCUCUACACUGUGGAAUCAAGGACGUGAUACUGUAACGACUCUUUUGAUUCAUAGUGAAAUCCAACCGGUGGGCUAUUAGUACGGGAGAGUGGACGUAGGCUUGGAUUAAGCUGAACCACUAUAAACCUUGUAUUUUUAUUCAUUUCCCUGAACUCUUUUACUUUGUUCGUAACUUUAUUUAAUUGUUAAAGUCUAAUUUCCCCUUCAAAGUCUAUUGUUAACCAAACUCAGGUUAAAAGUAAAGUUCUACACUAUAUUUUGCAAAAUUUGUUUUCGCACCUAUUCACCCCCUCUAGGUGCACAUACUAGCACUUUCAGUAUCAAACAUAACCUCGCGCAACUUGUGUAAUCAACGGAUUGAUAAGGAUGUUAGGUCGGCCACCAUAUCAUGUGAUGGCGGAUUUUGUUCAAGUUUAGCUGUUCGACUGGUUUAAAGGUGGUACAGUCCCACUUUUUAGUCUCUAAUAAGCUGUCGAAAGCACAAGCAUGGAUACCUUUGAUCUUCCCACUCAAUUUGAGGUCCAUAUACGAGAUUGAAUGUGGAGAAAUGGGUGCAUAUCUGGUAUUACUGAAUUCUCUGAGUCACUGACAGACUCCAUCAUCAGUCCAUAUGCCCUAGACUUUAGACACAUCAUUCCAAUGUGAAACAGCCAAUGGAUUUCCCCAGACAUGGGCAAUUCCAAUCAUUCCUAAUCCUCAAAGUGGUCGAAUGUCAAUGCGUCUGUCUCUCUCCCUACCUCGCACAUUCAAUGUUUCUUGCUUCAUGUCUUCGAACUUAGGUUGGCCUGGCCGGUGAACUCAACCAAAUGGGGAAGUGUAUAGCUCGCUCUUCUUCUGUUCGAUUGACCUCUUUCGAAUGUGAAUUCUGGGUUUGUCUCUCCCUCUGGAGAUCGAUGGACACACGCAUCAAUCAAAGCGAGUGAGUGAACUUUGAUGUUUUCUUACUCUUUCGCUUUCUAAACAAUUUUGGUUAGGGAUGGCGAAAGACCGUGAUUCUUUCCAAAGAGGCCUCUCUAUAUGUGUUGACAAUAGCCCUAUAUUUUGGAAUAAUAUGAUAAAUGCAAGCAAUAGAGGGAUUGAUUUUACCUUCUAUGUUCAUGGGAUGUCAAGUUUUCUUCGUGACGAAAACUCGUGAUGACAAAUCACUUUAUAUAUAUAAUUCGUCUAAACUUAUUUAAAGUAUAGACCUAAAUAAAGUGAGAUGAUCAUAUAUAUAUAACCAGUCUCGUAAUCAAGGAGUAACCCGAGAAUUUAUCCAUCAAUUCAAAAACUACCAUUCCCUUCUUCACGUACCAAAUAGGAUAUAAAAGAUACCUAAGCCGUACCAACUGCCCGAAGUACAAAUAACCAGAAACCAUAAAGUGAAGAUCAAUUAUUUGCCUUCAUUAGCCAUUACAUCGUCUCUUCGAACUUGUAAAUCUCCCCUUUUUGCCUAAUAUGCUAAUCAAUCCACAAAACGUUGUCAAGUAAGGACCUGUAAAAUCAAGUGCUGUAGGCCUGAAAGAUUCAUUUGCUGACAGCAUUCUGUGCAAGUUGGGAACUAACUCAGGAGGAAUGGUUGAGGAAGCUUCAUUUGCUAAGUAUGUCAAGGUAUUCAUGUACUGCGUAUAGCACACCAAAAGCAAAACUCGUUAGUAGAGCAACUUAUAUGGAGAGAGAUCCCAUUUAAAUAUGUGUGUCCACAAAUCCACCUAAACGGGCACACACUUGGGUUACAUAGAGAUGGAAGGACAAGCCCAGCGUUCGAAAGAAAAGUAACAUUUUGACAUUGUUAUGGCAGUCAAACGAAGGCUUGCGAGCAAUUAAGUAGUAAGCGAGCAUCCAAAACUAAAUAUAUCAGAAGCACACCCAGCUGAAGCCGUUUUGCACCAGAUCACUUUAGGAGCAGUGCGAUUGAGUGAUGGCUGCAAAAGACGGUACAGAAUCCUCAACAUCAUAUUCCUGCACGAUCAUUACAAAAGCUGGUAUAAGUAACCAAACUGCCAUCAUACUAAUAUCCGCAAUAACAUGCUGAACAAAAUGUGAGGAUUGUGCCACACAAUACUGUCAUGACUUGCAUACAAGAGAAUUUUCAGUCUAUUUCCACAGUUUAACAUCACUAAGUACUAGAUCAAGAAUGGUUGGGAUAGCAAGAGAACAAGAAUCGAGUAGGGAGAAACUACAAAAACACAAUCAGUCACCAACUUGAAGUCAGGAUGAGUAAAAUCAUCGUGAAUAAAGGAAAAUGAUAAGUAACUUUCACCAAUCUCUAUUGUGAGAUCAAAAUAAGAAAAGGAAUGUGCAACGGUUAUGUCCCAAAGAAUGAAGAUGAAAACAAGGUCAGUUUCCUUCAUUCAUCAUCUUAUUGAGUUAUCCACACAGAAUAAUGAAAAGAGUUGUAGACUAGAUAAAUCCACGGUGGCCUGAUAUGAGGACAUGGCAAAACCAAAUCCACCAAGCUUCCAAGAUCCACUUGAUGUAAUAAGCACAUUCUGCAAAAAGAUGUUCCGACAAUUACUUUUGCAUGUCCAAAUACCCAUAUGCUCUUCUUAAAUCCCGAAUUUAAGAGUGAAACAACAUAAUUUUACUUAAAAGGGUAGAAACACCACCCAUUAAAGGGAAAGACAAAGUUAUCUUCUUUUAAGAAUGAAACAACAAAAUUUAGAAAUUACCAACUUAUUUGGAGCUUGCAAAUUCCCAAAUUUUUGUACAAAAUUAUCUUCUUUUAUUUGCAUAUUUUUCUAAGGGAAAAUUCCAAAAAGGGACUCGAAGUGCCAUAUUUUUCUCAAAUAAGGGUCAAAAGUGGAUAUUGUUUCAAAUAAUGAUCGAAAGUGUCAUCACUUUCUCAAAUAAGGGCAUGAAGUAAAUAUUGUUUCCAAUAAGGAUCUAAAGCGGUUAUGUUUGUUUCAAAUAAGGAUUUGAAGUGGCUAUAUCCGUUUCAAAUAACUUUCCGGCAAUCACGGUAUUUUCAUAAUUUGUCAUUUUUCCCUUCUUCUUUUUUUUUUUUCUGGUUCUUCUUCUUCCUCUUCGCUGGUCCACUGGUGAAGAGGAAGAAGAAGAACCAGAAAAAUAAAAGAAAGGAAAAAAGGGAAAAAUGCCAAAUGACGAACCAAUUGGAAAAUUUAGCGGGUUGGUGACCGGCAAAUUAGGUCAUUAUUUGAAACAACCAAAGCCAUUUCAGAUCCUUAUUUGAAACAAUCAAUGCCAUUUUAGAUCCUUAUUUGAAAUAAAAUCCAUUCCUUUUUACAAAAAUUCCCUUUUACUAAUGCUUUGAAUUCACUAACUAUUUUAUAAAAUUCAUAACCUAAAUUAGUAUUAUUUACUAAAUUUUGUCAAAUUAAAAUUUUUAGUUUUGAUUACCAACUAGCCUUUAAUUAUUUACGAAUAUUUAAAUUUUUUUAAUCUACCAAUUGUCUUGUUAAAGUUACCAAGUUUGUUUGUCUUGGGGCUAUUUUUUAAAUUUAUAAGACUCAUUCAAAAACUACCAAUCAAAAUUAGCUUGAUUUACCAACUUUUCUUCCAUUAAAUUAUCAUAUAGUAUUAAGUGCCUACUUUCAUUUGAAUUACUUACCAUGCUCUGUUGGAGAAAACUUCCUUGAGUGUUUUGAAGCUAACAAAAUGUUUCUAUCAUUCUAGUCUAAAGACUUGUAAACUCUUCCAUCAAAGUCUGAAGACUCCGGACUAUCAGACUCAAGACUCAAAGUCUAUCCUCAUUGACAAUUUCUAGACCGUCGAAUAAGGCUUAUCCAGAACUGGAUGUUUCGUUAAGGAUUUGACUUUAUCGAUUGGAGAAGAUUUCUUGGCUGGAUAUAGCAUGCCGGAAUCCAUUAUUCAAAUCAAGAUUGAUUCAGGGAUUAUGGAUCCGUUGAUUAGCGAAGUAUACUUGGAAGGUUCUACUUAUGGAAACCUAGAUCCUGAUUGUAUGGGCGAGCAUGAUUGAUGGGCUAUCGUCAUGUUCCUUAAAUAGCUCGAAGAUCUUUUUAAUUGAUUAUGUUCAACGGGUAUAUUGGAAUAAUUCAUUUGGUAAGUGCCAACGGGUAUGAUGGCAUAAAGGAGUAUAUAAGGAAGACGUUCCAGUUGUUCGAGUGUGUGCAAUAUAGAAGAAUUCCAAAGUCUGAAGCUCCUUGUUCUUAGUCAAUUAAAUUGUUGAGCGAAAUCUUGUACACAAAAGAGAGUCUAUAUCUUUGAGAGACCUUGAUGAAGUUUAGUAGAGUCUCUACACUGUGGAAUCAAGGAAGAGCUUUACUGUAACAACUCUUUUGUUCAUAGUGAAAUCCAGCCGAUGGACUGUCAGUGCGGAAGAGUGGACGUAGGUUUAGAUUAAGCCAAACCACUAUACUCCAUGUGUUCAUAUUCUCUUCUCUACGCUCUUUUACUUUGAUCGUAACUCGUUUUGUUUACAAGAGACGAAUUUCCUUUUCAUAAUCUAUUGUUGAUUAGUGCUGCACGCUUAUAUCGUAAAAUUGUUUUUACAUCUAUUCACCCCUCUCUAAGUGAUCAUACUAGCUUUCACAAUUGGUAUCAGAGCCUGUGUACUCACUUAAGUUGAAGUGUUUUACUUCAGAGCUAGAUCCAUGGCUAGUAUGUUGGCUCCAAGACUAGUUGAAGGGCAGAGCAAUACCAAACCGCCUUAUUUUGAUGGAAAUGAAUACAACAUAUGGAAAAAUAAGAUGAAGGCAUUUCUAAGAUCAAAGAAUCCUCUGGAAUGGGAUGUGGUAGACAAAGGAAUCAUUCCUAAAACUGCACCUGUCUCAGAAAGAGGAAAAGAAGCCGUUGAGUCUAGCGAAAUGACUCAAGAAGAGAUAACCAAGAGACAAGCUCUUGAUGCAAAAGCAAUUUAUUCUUUAUAUUGUGCAUUAUCACCUACUGAAUAUAACAGAAUAUCUUCUUGUGUUACAGCUAAAGAAGUUUGGGAUAGAUUACACAUCACCUAUGAAGGAACUGAUCGAGUGAAAGAAAUCAAAAUCAACAUUUUGCUUGGUCAAUACGAAGCAUUCAAAAUGAAAUCAAGAGAAUCUAUCACUGACAUGUUUAGUCAUUUUACAGAAAUCAUGAAUGGUCUUGAAAAUCAAGGUCAACCAAUUUCUGAUCCCAUGAAAGUAAACAAGCUACUGCGUGGACUCUCCCAGGAUUGGAAUCACAUAAAGACCUCAAUAAGGGGGACACAAAGAAUUAUGCCACUUUCUAUUGAUGAAUUGGUUGGGACUCUUCAGUCUUAUGAAGUGGAGCGAAUCAAUGAAGAUGAAGAUCCUAAAGGUAAGAAAUCCAUUGCAUUAAAAUCUAGGGAUAAGUGUUCCAGAAGUCCUACAACUUGUCACGAAAAUGCAUUUCAGUCCUAAAAUUUGCAAAAAGUGCAUUUAAAUCCUAAAACUUGUCAAAUUGUUUCAAAUGAGUCAUAAGAUUAACGUCGUUAGUCUUUUCCGUUAAAAAUGCUGACGUGGCAUUUUAAAUAAUUUUUUAUUUUCCAGGUUUAUUUUUUAAUUAAUUUUUAUCCUUUUUUAAAAAAAAUUAGAUUUAAAAACCAAAAAAUUAAAAUUAUUCUUAUCUUAUUUUCAACAAAAACUGAAAAGAAAAGUUAAAAAAUUUAUUUUUAAAAUUUUUAAAAAUAAAUUGAAAAAAUAAUGUUAACUUUUUAAAUAUGUUUUUUAAUAGAUAUUUUAACUAAAAAAUUUAUUUUAAAUUAAAAUUUUUUUUUAAUAAUUAUUUUAAAUUUUUUAGAAGUUUUUGGUGAAAAUAAGAUCAAAUGAAUAAAUUUGAUUUUUUUUAGCUUUUAAAUCUAAUUUUUUUUAAAAAUAAUUUUAAAAAAAUUCAUGUGGAAAAUAAAAAAAAAUUAUUUAAAAUGCCACGUCAGCAUUUUUAACGGAAAAUGCUAACGGCGUCGAUCUUAGGACUCGUUUGAAACAAUUUGACAAGUUUUAGGACUUAAAUGCACUUUUUGCAAGUUUUAGGACUGAAAUGCAUUUUCGUGACAAGUUGUAGGACUUCUGGAACACUUAUCCCUAAAAUCUAAUGAUGAUUCUGAUGUCACAGAUUCUGAAGACGAUAUGGAUGAUGAGGAGCUUGCUCUCAUGAUAAGAAGAUUCAGAAAGGUAAACAGAAAAGGGAGAAGAUUCAAUCUAAAGAAACAAAGUUUUCAAAAGCAACAGACUAAGUCUGUUGAGGAUGAUGAAUCCAAUAGAGAUGUAGUCUGUUUUGAAUAUAAGAAAAAGGGACACAUCAGACUCAACUGUUCCCUUUUGAGGAAAAAGAAAGGAAAAGCUGAGAAAUAUCGAAAGGCACUCAAACUAGAAAAUUGGAGUGAUACAGAAUGUGAAGAAAGUGAUGAUGAUUAUGCCAAUAUUUGUCUUAUGGCACAAUCAGACUCGAAUUCAGACUUCGAGACAGACUCAGAUUCAGACAGUGAAAUCGAGGUAAGUAAUUUGAAAAUCCCUACUAAAGUCUCUAGAUACAUUGAUGAAUUAUGUCUUAGUCUCAAAACUUCUCUUAAAAGGAUUUUCGAACUUAAAAGAGAAUUCUACACUAAAGCAACAGGAAAAUGUUUGGAAAGAAAAGGUCAAAAGUCUAGAUAAAAGUGUUACUACUUUGAAAGAAAAUGCAGACAAUCUUUCAAAAGAAAAUGCAUUCUUGAAAAAUGAUAUCUCAAAUAAUUCUAAAAGAUUUUCUAUAGGAUCUGAGAAACUUGAAAAAAUUCUUUCAGCAUAAAAACCUUACUUCAACAAAUCAAGUUUAGGAAUGACUGCUGAAACCAUUCCUCUAAUUGAUUUUCCUAAAGUAAAGGAAAGAAUUAAGCAAAGACCUACAAGAGAUGCUUACAAAAAUCAUUUCCAAAAAGUUUUUGUAAAACCAGUAGGUCGCAGUGCUCUUAGAUGUUCUAAGUGCAAUAGCUUAGACCAUUUUCAGAAAGAAUGUCCUAUGGUUUGGAAACCUAUUAAGAAGGUAUGGGCAAAGACCGUAUAUUACACUAACACCAAUGGACUCAAGAAAAUAUGGGUACCAAAGAAAGCUUGAGUCUAUUUUCUAAAUGCAUGUCACUAUCAAGAAAAAGAUUAAAUGGUACCUGAAUAGUGGAUGCUCAAGGCAUAUGACAAGAGAUUCAAAAUGCUUCAUAAAGCUUGUUCAAUUUAAUGUUGGAAAAGUUUCAUUUGGAGGAAACAGCAAAGGAAGAAUUGUGGGAUAUGGAACUGUAAAGAUUGGAAGCCUCACGAUCAGUAAUGUUUCCUUAGUGGAAGGACUCAACUACAAUUUGUUAAGUAUCAGUCAGCUGUGCGACACCGGUUUCAAAAUCAAUUUUCAAGAGGGAAUAUGUUCAAGAACCAGUAAAGACUCCUCUCAAUCUUUCACGGGUCAAAGACAUGGAAAAAUCUACCUCUUGGAUAUCAAACCAGAUGAAACCCAAUGUCUGAUCUCAAUUCAAGAAGAAGCAAACUUAUGGCACAGAAAACUUGGGCACAUCAACAUGAAGCAAUUAGCCAAAAUUUCAGCAAAAAAACUUGUUCUUGGUCUACCCAAUUUGUCAUACCAAAAGUCUGAUCUAUGCACACCAUGUGUGUUGGGAAAACAGUUUGAAGAAAAAUCAGACGAAUGCAUCUUCCUUGGAUAUUCUAUCAUAAGCAAAGCUUAUAGAGUUUACAACAAGAAGACUCAAUCUGUGGAGGAAUAAAUGAACGUCAAAUUUUAAGAUUUUAUGCAAAACCAAUCGAUUCAGACUCAACCUGAAGAAUCUGAAUCUGGUCCAGACUCUACAAAGUCUAAAUCUUCAGAAGCAGCUCAGACUUCAGAAGAUCAGCAACAAAUGAUCAACGAAGAUUCAAAAGAGGAAAAAGAUCAACAGUUUGACAAAUCAACCAGCAACUGGAAGCAUAAGUCCAGUCAUUCCAAAGAUCUCAUUAUUUGUGAUAUUAAUGAAAGAAUUUGCACAAGAUCCAAAAGGCGCGAAGAGUCUAGUGCUGUGGCUCUUAUUUCUGAAAUAGAACCCAAGUGCAUAGAAGAAGCUUUAACUGAUGAAAGCUGGAUUGAAACUAUGCAAGAAGAACUCAAGCAAUUCAGCAUUAAUGAUGUCUGGGAAUUGACUCCUAAACCAAAAGGUAAAUCUAUCAUUGGAGCUAAAUGGGUUUUCAGGAACAAGAUGAACGAGAAAGGAAAUGUCGUAAGAAACAAAGCAAGACUCGUGGCCAAGGGAUAUACGCAAAAAGAAGGGAUAGACUAUGAUGAGACUUACACACCAAUAGCAAGGUUAGAAGUAAUUAGAUUAUUACUUGCUUUUGCUUGUCAUAAGAAUUUUAAGUUAUUCCAAAUGGACGUCAAAAGUGCUUUCCUAAAUGGAUUUAUCUAAGAAGAAGUCUAUGUGGAACAACCACCCGGUUUUGAAGAUCCAAGAAAACUAGACUCUAUAUUCAGACUGAAAAAUGUUUUAUAUGGUUUAAAGCAAGCACCUCGAGCUUGGUACGACUGACUAAAUAAGUUUUUAAUUCAGAACGGUUUUGUCAAAUGUAAAGUAGAUACUACAUUGUUUAUCAAAAGAGAAAGCAAAAGUAUUCUACUUGUUCAAUUUAUGUUGAUGAUAUUAUUUUUGGAUCUUUUAAUGAAAAUCUGUACAAGAAAUUUUCGAAGUCUAUGCAGGAUGAGUUUGAAAUGAGUAUGAUGGGUGAGCUAACCUUCUUUCUUGGGCUUCAAGUGAAACAACAGAAGGAAGGAAUCUUUAUUCAUCAAGAAAAAUAUGCUAAAGAACUUGUCAAAAAGUUUGGACUAGAAAAUUGCAAAAAGACUGAUAUACCAAUGUCAAGUUCUUUGAAGAUGGAUAAAGAUGAGGAAGGAAAGAAAGUUGACCAGAAGCUAUACAGGAGUAUCAUUGGUUCACUUCUUUAUCUAACUGCAUCUAGACCUGACAUUUUGUUUAGUGUUUGCAUGUGUGCCAGAUUUCAAUCAGACCCUAAAGAAUCUCAUUUAAGUGCUGCAAAGCGUAUUAUCAAAUGCAUUGCCUCAACUUCAAAUUUGGGUCUCUGGUAUCCUAAAGAAGGAGACUUUACUCUUCUUGGAUACUCAGACGCAAACCUAGCCGGAUACAGAGUUAAUAGAAAAAGCACCUCGGGCACCUAUCAACUACUUGGAAGCAGGACAGUGUCUUGGUUUUUAAGAAAGCAAAGUACAGUAGCUCUUUCUACAGUAGAAGCAGAGUAUGUAGCUCUUGGAAGUUGUUGUUCACAAAUUCUGUGGAUAAAACAACAGUUAAGAGACUUUGGAAUUGAGAUUCAUGCACUCAAAUCAAAUGUGACAACACCAGCGCAAUCAAUCUCACCAAGAAUCCGAUUCUUCACUCAAGAGCAAAACAUAUAGAGAUUCGACAUCAUUUCAUUAGAGAUCAUGUUCAAAAUGGAGAAGUUUCAAUUCAGUUUAUCGACUCAAAGAAUCAACUGGCGGAUAUAUUUACAAAGCCUUUGGAGAAAAAUCAAUUUGAAGUUAUUCGUUCCAAUCUCAAUAUCUUAAAGUCUGAGGAUGUUCAAACUCAGGACAUAAAGUCUAAAGUCUCUCAGACUCAAACAAUCAAGACUCUACGACUGUAAGUUAUUUCUAUUUUAGAAAUUUAUUUCUUGGAUCAAAUCUUGAAAAGGUACGAUCUUCUAUCCGAAAUUGAUUGGUGUUAUUUUCCCAAUUUUUCGUGAUUAAUGCAAUCCUUCUUUUUUCGAAAAAGAAGUUAUUUAAAAUGACAAUUAUCUAAUUUUUUGAAAAAGGCAGUUAUUUUUCAAAAGGCAUAUUUAUAUUUCUUUUUUACGACGUUCAGUAUGCCUCGCUUCGACUGCCUUAUAUGCUGUCGGUUCUUCUUCGUUUUACUCACAAAAACCCUAAGAGAGCACAGAUCUUCCAUUUCUGUCUUCUUCUCUUGUUUAAUCCUCGAAAAGUUUUCAUCUUUCUUGGGAAACAAGCUUGGAAUCUCUUAAAGACUGUGAAAGAUGUCGUCUCAAAGAAAGUUUUCGAGGAUCGCGAACAGGGAACCACAGCAAAUGUGUGCGGGGCCUACGCACUUUGAUCUCACUGAGGAAGAAGAAUCUCCUAGACAGCAGCAGAGCCCGCAACAUUCUCAGCAGCGUCCAUCUCCUCCAUCUAGACCUCAGGAUGUUGAACAUCAAGAAGAGGAAAAAAUCAUCGAAGACGCAGAACCCCUAAGAACUCUUAAGCCCGCUUUUACCUACAAAUUUUAUCGUGCUUUAAAGAGGGGUGGUACUCCGUUGAACUACAUUGAUGAAUUUCUUAAAGACAAAGGGUAUAGAAAUGAAACUUUCUUUUUACACACAAUGAAACGUUUGGGAAUUGCCCCUGCUUGGUCGGCGGAAGAGGCAUUGGCAAAUAUCUCAAGCAAUCCACGUGUUGGAGGGCUGAGUCAACCAGAUGGGAAUAACGAUGAUAGGAUGUACAGUCAGUUUAAACCUAGAAUGGGUGUUGCAGCAAAAAUCUGAAGCAAAAAGACGGAUUUAUUUCAAUCGGAGGAACACAAGCAACUGUAGUCUAAGUUGCUGAAGCGUGGGGUGAUAAACCCUAGAAGUGUGGACUUUGAUUUUCUUGACUCUAUGAAUGUCAAUCUGCGAGAAAAAUUCAGUCUUCUUCAACUCGAACAGUUUUGUUCUGAAACUACAGAAGCUCAUGCUGAACUUACUGCUUAUUUCUAUUCGAAUCUCAGUUUCUUGGAUGCGAAUAGGUUCUCUUUUAGUGUUCGAGAUCAAGACUAUGUGGUUGACAUGAAUACAUUGGCUAAUGUGAUUAGGGUUGAAAGAUGGAGAUAUCAACCUAUCAGUGUGUCUAUUGCUCGUGCAACGUUGGAGCUUGUUUAGGAUAGAAGGACAGAAGGGAAGAUUUCCUAUUUGAGGAUAAAUGCGACCAACAUUUUGCUUCACAAGAUUGUGAUUAACUACCUCAGACCAAAAUCUACUUCAAAGACCGACGUUUCAAACUCGGAGGCAAAGCUGAUGUAUGCCAUCAAUGCUGGGAAAAAGUUUUCUCUUUCACACACUAUUAUGUUCCACAUGAACAAAGCAGUGGUGAAGGACAAGGGUCAACUUCCUUAUCCAGCUCUUGUGACUCAGUUAUUCAUACAUUUGAACGUUCAGCCUCCCCGGAUUUUCUGUGUUCGAACAUGCGAUCAAAUGGUGGUGGGAUUGAAAAUGGUCUCUAAAAUGCGUCUGAAGGAACUCAACAAGGCGUUGGAACAAUUCAAGGAGAAAACCCCUGUCAAGACUCAUCAAAUAUCUUCAGCUACAAAGAGGAAAAGAAAGGAGCCCAUGGUUGCUCCAUCCAAGAAAAUAAGAGCUCUCAUCAUUGAGGAUGAAGAGGAUGAGGAUGAUAUCACCAUUUCCACGAUGGCAUUGAAGAACUUGAGUCGUUCUGUUCCAAAAUCGACGAAAAGCAAGGAAAAAGACACGGAUGAGAUAGAACAGAGGACUGGAGAGAAAGAAGUUUUGGAGAAAGAAGCAGAGGAGAGAGAAGCAGAGGAGGAAAUAAUUGAGGAAGAAGAAGAAUAGGAGAGAGGAGAUCAAGCGGAAGUAGAGCAUGAGGAACACUUUUCUCCACCUGAAGGCAUGGAAACAGGGGGAGAUCGUGAGAAAAGAGGAACGUCCUCAUUCCCUGCCACCAGUGAAGGAAUAAGUCGUUCUCCAGCAGAUCCAAAGGACAUCUAUGCCUCUCAAUUUCCUGAAGAGGGACAUGAUGUUUCAUCGCCCAAUUUGCGUGACCAUGCUGAUUUACCACCAUCUACCUAUACUCCAUCUGAUCGUGCAGAAGCCAGUACUCAGACUGAUAAUUCAGUAGAUUUUCGCAAAAUUCUUGAUGUUCUCUUGGAGAUGCGGGGUCAAAUAUAUGCUUUGGGAUGCGAAGUACAAAACUUGCAAAAUGCAAGACAAGCUUCUUCAGUUUCUUUGAAUGAUCAAAUCCAUGCCCUUGCUCUUCAAGUUCAAGCAAAUGCUAAGGGUGAAGAUGUGGAGCAACUGAAGGAGGAUUUGAAAAAGCUGGAAUGGAUUAUCCAGUCAAUGGGAGAUUUCCAGCUUGUUCGUAUUCCCAAGCAAUCUUAAUUCCAUUCUCUUUUCAUCUCUACCUUUUUAAUGAUGACAAAAAGGGGGAGAGAUGUGGUGCAUAUUUGAUUUUGAACUUUGAACUCACUUUUUGAACUUUUGUGUCGAUUAUGUUUGAUUGACUUGACUUUUGUGUUUGGCUGUUUGGAUUUGAACUGGAUUUGGAUUUGACUGUUUGAACAUUUGUUUAUCUUAAGUACUAUUGAUAUCUCAUGGCUUUGUUCAUUUAUAAGACUAACCUACUUUCUAUGGAUGCAGAUUCUAGUGUUAUUUUUACUAAGCCAUUUAUCUUUGUGAGAUAUCAAUAUUUGCUUGAGUAAUGUUUUGCCGGUCAAAGUUAUCCAAAUCUGCAGGAAAGUUUUGUCACCAUCAAAAAGGGGGAGAUUGUUGGAGAAAACUUCCUUGAGUGUUUUGAAGCUGACAAAACGUUUCCAUCAAUCUAGUCUGAAGACUUGUAGACUCUUCCAUCAAAGUCUGAAGACUCCGGACUACCAGACUCAAGACUCAAAAUCUAUCCUCAUUGACAGUUUCUAGAUUGUCGAAGAAGGCUUAUCCAGAACUGGAUGUUUCGUUAAGGAUUUGACUUUAUCAACUGGAGAAGAUCUCUUGGCUGGAUAUAACAUGUCGGAAUCCAUUAUUCAAAUCAAGAUUGAUUCAGGGAUUAUGGAUCCGUUGAUUAGCGAAGUAUACUUGGAAGGUUCUACUUAUGGAAACCUAGAUCCUGAUUGUAUGGGCGAGCAGGAUUGAUGGGCUAUCGUCAUGUUCCUUAAAUAGCUCGAAGAUCUUCCUAAUUGAUUCUGUCCAACGGGUAGAUUGGAAGAAUUCCUUUGGUAAGUGCCAAUGGGUAUGAUGGCAUAAAGGAGUAUAUAAGGAAGACGUUCCAGUUGUUCGAGUGUGUGCGCGAUAGAAGAAUUCCAAAGUCUGAAGCUCCUUGUUCUUAGUCAAUUAAACUGUUGAGCGAAAUCUUGUACGUAAAAGAGAGUCUAUAUCUUUAAGAGACCUUGAGGAAGUGUAGUAGAGUCUCUACACUGUGGAAUCAAGGAAGAGCUUUACUGUAACAAUUCUUUUGUUCAUAGUGAAAUCCAGCCGGUGGGCUGUCAGUGCGAAAGAGUGGACGUAGGCUUGGAUUAAGCCGAACUACUAUAAUCCCUAUGUUCAUAUUCUCUUCUCUACGCUCUUUUACUUUGAUCGUAACUCGUUUUGUUUACAAAAGACGGAUUUCCUUUUCAUAAUCUAUUGUUGAUUAGUGCUACACACUUAUAUCGUAAAAUUGUUUUUACACCUAUCACCCCCCCCUCUAGAUGCUCAUACUAGCUUUCACACACUCUAGUUGUUUAAAUUUUCAAUUUGCCUACUUUUCUUAUCGUUUGUAAACUUUGCUUGUCCUAGCAACUCUUGUGAUUUACCGACUCUUUUUUCAAAUAUUAUCACUAACCUAAUUAAAGUGACAUAACAACUUCUCUUCGAUUAAAUUAUCGGCUAGUCUUGAAUUGCCAACUCUCACUUGAGUUACUUACCAAUUUUAUUUUAUUUUAAAUUACCAACUUUUAUUAUCUUUUAUGACGUUUUAUCUUUCCUAACUCCUCCAUACAUAUUUAAUCCAUAACAUGCGACAUGAUCAUACAUUAUCACAUCUUUUUCCGUCAAUCUUUUCCAUACAAAAUAUGCAGGACUUCUUGAGCUCCCAAUUAAUUUUCACUAAAUGAGCUAGUUAUCUCAACGAAAAUAGUGCUUGACGGUACAUUAUUGUAGGUUUAUACUCCUGACCAUCAUCUUGAUAGGAUAAGCUAACACUAACAAAAUUGCCAAAUAUACGGAUUAGGUAUCAGUUUGGCCAUGGUUUGAUUAAGUCCAAGUAAUUAGCUGCACUUUUGGGUGACUCCGGGUCCGAGACUCCAACUAUCAAAUCAAGACUCGAAAAAACACAAGAGACUAGUCAAUUUAACCAUUUUAUUUAAAAAGAUGCUAUUUCCACUUUAUUUUAUGAUUUUAAUACCUCUUCUUUUUUCUUCCAAGUUACUUCUCCAAUAUGGGCUUCUAGACGAAGAAGGGUUUGAUGUGCAUAUAAUCUAACUGGAUCCGGAUUUUCUUGACAUAUUAAGUAUAAAUCUACAAGUACCUAAGAUUCAUAUAUAAUAAGCACAUAAACUCCCAUUUUCUUCUGGACUUAUCAAGAAACCUGAUGGAUGGAGACACCCUUUCGAUUCUUCCAAGGUUGCAACUUGUUGAGGGACAAAAUAAAUUCACAAUUAAAUUCCCAACAUUAGGAACUCGUUGAUAAUACUAGCAUGUACACGUGCAUAUUAGUCAAAAGUCUAGAAAAAACUUCCCUUGUUUAUAGGUUAGCUCCAGAAUAAAGGUCGAUCUAAAUAAACCCAGGUUGAAGAAUUCAAUAAUAAAUUUAAUCUUGAAAAAAAAAAAAAAAACCCAAAACCUCGUCCAUACGCACACAUACAUAUAUAUAUAAGAUACACUUAAGAAUUUCGAGGUUCUUGUUUUAGUUGGUUGAAGUAGUGAUUAGCUUUUAGCCUUUCUAAGUAAAGACUAUGAAAUGUAGAGAAGGAGUUGGGACUUGGGAUUAGAUGCCUCCUCCACCUGGUACCUUGUAUCUACAUAUUGAAAAUUCUAAUAGGACUUCGAAGUUGGAGUGUUAAAAGUAUAUCUUGCAUAAAUAGUUAUCAGAUUUAUAACGAAGUUAUAUACAUCAUUAAAUUGAUUAAUAGAUUAAGAUGCACCUUCUAGGAACACAAAAAUCUAUUGUCUUGUGUUCAAUUGUAUGAAAUCUUUCUAUCAUAGUGGCAAAUUUAAACAUCGUUCGCUGGUGAAAACAAUGGUCAUCGAUUUUUUUUUCAAGUAAGGUGUUGGUAAAUUUACCAACAACUUUAUGAAAUUGCCAACUUAUUUAGAGUUUGCAAAUUUACAAAUUUUGUACAAACUUAUCUAUUUUUAUUUGUAUAUCUUGCUAAUGCUUUGAAUUCACUAAUCUUCUUUUAUUUUAUUUUUUAUUUUUUAUGAAACUGAUAGCUUAAAUUAGUGUGAUUUACUAAUUUGUCAAAUUAAGUUUUUAAGUUUUGGUUUACCAACUCUCUGCGAAUUAUUUACCAACAUUAAUUUUAUUUAAUCCUCCAAAUUUCCCGUUAAAGUUACCAACCUUUUAUGUAUCUUUCCUAACUCAUCCAAUAUAUGUUUUCUGCGCAACGUGUGAUGAAGACGUGAUCAUACGCAAUCACAUCCUUUUCCAUUGAUUUUUUCAGACAAAACACUCAAGACUUCUUGGGCUCUCAUUAAUCUCUAGUAUAAGAGCUAGUCAUCCUGACUCAAAUACCGAAGGUCCACAGUAAUAUUAUAGGCUCAUGCUCCCGACGGCCAUCUCAAGAGGAUAAGCUAACCCCUAACACAAUUGCUGGCUGAAUCCACGAAUUAUGUAUCGGUUUGGCCAUGGUUUGAUAAAGUCUUUGGUGAUUAGCUGUACGCCGGUCGACUCUAGCUACCGAAACACACAUUAAUUAAUAAAACUCAGGAAAACAUUCGCGCCCAAUUACUGCUAUCUGUUCAUAGGACCCAAUCGAAUAUUUGUGUCACCCUUUUUAUGUUGGAUGCAAAUUUCUUACUGGCUUCACCUACUCGAAGGAACUGCGAUUUAGGUGGUAGGUGGCGACCCUUUCCUUUCUCUCUUGUCUUCUUUUUCUUUUCUUGCCUCGAUUUUCCUUUAUUUUCUCCGGGGUUGGUGGUAAUUGGUAGGCACGACUUUAACAAAUUCUUUGGCCUAUGUCCGCAUUCAAAUGGUGUUCUGACCGCAUCUGAAUUGAAAAGCUAGCUACCGUCUCCCCAGAGACUGGCGAUUUGAUCGAAAGUGGUAGGACAAAAGGGUAAUGAUAUCCAGUCUUUGGAUCGGAUGGAUGGGAUUUAUUAAUCCCCAGCUAAUCCACUUAAUUUAAUUUACUUCGUCUCAAAAUUCGGGGCUGAGUUCUUUGAAUGUUUCCCUUGUGAGCAUGGACUUGUCUCGCACGUGAUUUGCAAAAUGAAGUGGAUCUUUUCAUGCAAAUAGAUAAAAAUGGCAUUGGAACUUAUGGUUUUAUAACUUAGUCAAGUAUUAUAGUUACACCAUUACCCAAAUGUCUGAAUAUCUUUUCAUUUUUGGGAAGUAACGAAGAAGGACAUGACUUGGGAUUUACUCUUUUUGGGUCAACAACUUAACAUGGGAUUUUUGGAACAUGACUUUUCGGUUUAAUACGGUCAACAAAUUCAAAAUAUGGUCAUUCCUAAAUUCAUUUAAUAAUCAAUUUGGGCAUAUUUAAUCUUUAUAUAGCUUCACGACCUACUCCCAAAACAAGAUAGUUUUGUCUUUACUAGCAACUCAUCGAAAUUGCGAUUCCACAACGGAGUUUAGCUUAGGAAUCGAAUUUUCAUUUGACAUUUUAUAUGGUAUGUCCUAUGUCCUAUGUUGCUAACAUCCCACAUGGUCAUGGAAUAAGGAAAAAAAAUUACGUGAAUGCAGUUUCUCUUGGGGAAAAGUCAAAAUAGAAAAAGGAAUCCCAUCGUAAAAUCUUUCUUUAAUAUAUAUGAAGACAAAAAGGUCCUCAUAUACUCUUCCAUUUGAGUCGAAAUUAUCACGCAUGGCACUACAUCGAGAUUUAUAGUUUGAACUGAAUUUUGUGAUUGGAUUGAAUUUUAAUUUUUAUUCAAUUUAAAUUUUACGGUCCACAAAUGUUGAUUUUUUGUAAUCCGAAGCGUUCGAGACUUUGACACUAUAUCUAUGAUUUUUAUUGGAAUCUAAGUAUUUUAAGUUACGGUGGAAAAACAAAAGGAAUAAUUUUUUCUUUUAAUUAUUUGCAAACAAGCAAGCUCAUCUUAUUACGUCAUUGAGAUAAUAAAUUUAGUUUACAAGUGAAAAAUAGAAAUUCUUCAGCACGCUUGUCUCUUGCUAUCAUUGAAGUGUUUAGUGUCAUGCGAAAUAUAAGCAGUUUAUUAAUUAUUAAGUGUUCUAAAGGGUCAAUACAUGCGAGGUUAAUAAAUUAUCGAGAUAUCGAAAGUAUAGUCAAUUGUGAUCAAGAGGCAAAUGCCUUCAAUGCUUCGAUUGUCUUUGUGUUCUACACAAUUAGUAUCUCGAAAUUGAAUUACACAUAUAAAACAAAUGUCCAUGACUUUCAUUAUGACUUACGUUAAAAAGUACCCGAUGCACUUGUUAAGCAAUUUGGAUAAGCAUGGCACUACAUCGAGAUUUAUAGUUUGCGCUGAAUUUUAUCAUUGGAUUGAAUUUUAAUUUUUAUUCAAUUAAAAUUUUACGGUUCACAAAUGUUGAUUUUUUUAUUAAUUUGAAGCGUUCAAGACUUUCACAUUAUAUCUAUGAUUUUUUUUUUUUUUGGAAUCUAAGUAUUUUAAAUUACGAUGGAAAAAAAAAGGGAAUAGAUUUUUCUUUUAAUUAUUUGCAAAUAAACAAGCUCAUCUUAUUAAUAAAUUACAUCACUUAGAUAAUAAAUUUAGUUUACUAGUGAAAAACAUAAAUUCUUCGGCACGCUUGUCCCUUCCUAUCAUGGGGCAUCAUGCGAAAUAUAAACAAUUUGUUAAUUAUUAAGUGUUCUAAAGGGUCUAGACAUGCAAGGUUAAUAAAUUAUCGAUUUAUCAAAAGUAUAGUCAAUCGUGAUGAAGUUGCAAAUACUUUCAAUGCUUCGAUUGUCUUUGCGUUCUCCACAAUUAGUGUCUUGAAAUUGAAUUACACAUAUAAAAUAGAUGUCCAUGACUUUCAUUAUGACUUAUGUUAAAAAGUACCCGGCGCACUUAAUAAGCAAAUUUAAUAAGAAAAUAUUCUAUUUCGAGAGUAUCAACUGUAGAUAUUAAGAAAGAAGUUGGUGCGUAGAAACUUUACUUAUUUUCUUUUUAUUGAAUUGUUCAUCAAAAAAUGUCUUUGGACCCGCUGUGUGACUUAUCCGUUCCUCUGCUCAGUGGGAGGACCAGCUUUGGUUGGUGCAUUGGUUUGGUUGGUAGGAGUAACAUCGUGCUCUCUCCCGAAUGACAUUGUCGUAACCCAUUUCUUAAUUUUUGCAGAGAUGGAGUGUUUUAUUUAUUGCAAGCUCCACUAGUUCCCAAAAAGACUUGGCGCCCCGGACUCACGGACUCGCCAUGCCGCCUCGACGGAGUCCUGAACCCAACCGACCUAGAAUGGACACAAACACAAUGAUAAUUUCCAUUGGUAUAUGUUAUCGGACCGCACAUUUCAUAAGAAUUGUUGAAAGAAUAUGUUAAAAAUGGAAUUGGUACGAGUAAAACGCGCAGGAUGGUUUUGGACUUAUAUUAAAAAUCAGAGGAUAUGACCAAUUCCUACGUAAAAUGAUGAUGAGAUGGAUUGUUUCAAUGAAUUUGGAGAGCGCAAUAGUCAAAUAGUGGGGUUGGUGACCGCACGAUGCAGGCUCAUGCAAAGCGUGUCAAUACCAUGGAGUCAAGUAAGACCAUUUUAUAAUCCCACUCGUACUUCAAAAAUACUGAGAAGAGCACAAGUAAUUUGAGCAGAAAAAGUAAUUUAGUGCUAAUUUCUAGGGGUCACAAUUUUAUGGAUUUUUUUUUUAAAUCAAUUUUUGGUCUGUGCCCUUAAAAUCAUUUUCCUUUCAAAGAUUAAAGUAAAUUGCGAAAUUGAGAAAUAAAAUAUUUUACCAAAAAAGACAGAAAUAUUCAGCAAAAGAAAUGUCGAAAUGAAACGAAAUAAGCCUAAAAGAAAUUGAUCACUCUUAUCUUUUUUUUUCCUUUAACACCGUCAUUAAAAGAAUUUGUCUUGAUAUUACUUAUUAGAUUCCUCCAAUGAUGCAUUUCUGAGGGCUUCCUUCCCGUGAUGUAACACGAGAGCCAUCCUCAUUGUUCCCCAAUUGGGGAGGCCAUUUCUUGUUAGUGCCCGGUGGAACAGCUCAAUGUGCCUAAUCAUCACUUAAACAACACCAAACACCAAUCAACUCCCUCCCCCAUAAUUUCCCAAUUCAAAAUCUCCACCCGGUCGGGAAUUUCAAUUCAAAAACCAGCUUCGGCCCGCAAAAAAAGAAGAAAAAAACCUGAAAUCGCCACUUAGAGGGAGAAUGUCCAUUCGAUUCUAAUGCAAGUAGUUCAAAUAAGAAACUCAAGAGAGAAAAAACAAAAUAAAGAAAAAAAAAAGGAGGAUAUUUGCGCCGUUGACGUGGUGCUUUCAUUCGUCCACCGAGUCCUCAGGCUCUCACCAACCCCCGGCAGCCAAAAUCCCUGCCUCCCUCCCCCACCACCUCUUUGACGAGUAAGGGCGCACAUAAUUAAAUUUCUGGAACAGAAAUCAAUUUUUAUUUCAUGAACGAGUUUCUGAGCAAAGAAACACAUUUAAUGACAAUUCAAAUUUCUAUUUCAAAAAUAAAAAUUCAUUUGGUAAAAGAAUUAAAUUUCUAUUUCUAGGAGUGGUGACGACCGGCGUCCGAUGGCCGAAGUUUGACGUCCGGCAAGCGGCGGCGAGCGACCGUAGUCUGGAGUCCGAUGUAAAAAGUUCGGCAUUCGGCGUUUGGCGGCUGGUGGCCAGCAUCCAGCAUCCGACAUCCAACAUCCAGAGUUUGGUGUCCAAUGUCCGGCGUCCAACUAGCCAGCAACCGGCGUCCAACAUCCGGAGUCUGGCGUUCGAUGUCCAAAGUCCGAUAGUCGGCAGUCAGCGGUUGGUGGCUAGUGGCCGAAGCCGGCGAGCAGUGGUGGGCGGCCAACAUCCAACGGUUGGUGGCAAGCAACGGGCAGUGGGUGGCGAAUGUUCGGUCGUCAGUGGUGAGCCUCCGACAUCCAACGGUUGGUGAUGAGCGACCAACAACUGACAAGCAUCCGACGGCCGACGGUCGACAAUGGGCAGCAGUCAGCGAGCAGCAGCGAGUGGCGGGCGUCCAGCAUCCCACGAGCGGCCGGUGGGCAAUGGGUGGUGACAAUAGUGAACAAUGAGAAAAAUUUUGAUUUCUCAUUUCUGUUCCAGAAAUAGAAAUGUGAAAAAUUCUAACUUGUAAUUUUUACUCCAAAUCUAUUUCUAAAAUAAAAUUCUGUUUCAGAAAUUAAAAAAAAAUUUAAAUUACGUUACCAAUUAGAUUUCUGUUCCAAACGUGUUCCGGGGAACAGAAAAACAGACAAAUCGAUAAUUAGAAAUGUUGUUAUGCGCCCGCGCUUUCAUUUCUUCAUCUUUUCUCUUUUUCUUUUUAUCUUUUUUUUUUAUCGCAGGCAAAACGGCCAAAGAAUUCCCCGAAAUGACACUACAUGCACACAUGUCGUCCACGUGUCAUGAUCCCGCCCGUCCAAGGGGAGCAAUCCGACGGCCCCGGGAGGAUUUCAACUAACCCGUCGGCCUAACCUACCUGACAUUCAAUGGCGGGCGCGCCUCUCCUCUAUUUGAACGUCCGAUUUGCAGGAGAGCAGACUCAGGAAAUUCACUGUGAAUUUCCUUUAGAGCAAAACACACUCAAAAAACGCCACCGCGCUCUUCCUCUCUCGCCAGCCCUCACCUCGAUCUCGAUUUCGCGCUGACUCGCUCCUCGCUCGAUUACGACUCCUCUUCUCGCUCUCUCGGCCGCUCUAGACGUUCGCAUUCACACGAGCGCGAAGAUGGACAUGGACACGGCAGCGUGCAACGGCAAGGGCUGGCUCGGGCUCUGCUCGGGGGCAGGCGGUGACCCGCUCAACUGGGGCGCGGCCGCCGCGGCCCUCACGGGGAGCCACCUCGAUGAGGUGAAGCGGAUGGUUGAGGAGUCCCGGCGGCCCGUGGUCCGCCUCGGCGGUGAGACGCUGACCAUCGCACAGGUGGCGGCCAUCGCUGGGCAGGAGGCCGGUGCGGCGGUCGAGCUGUUGGAGGGGGCCCGGGCGGCGGUCAAGGCCAGCAGCGACUGGGUGAUGGAGAGCAUGAGCAACGGCACGGACAGCUACGGGAUCACCACCGGCUUCGGCGCCACCUCGCAUAGGCGGACCAAGCAAGGUGGUGCCCUGCAGAUGGAGCUCAUAAGGUUUUUUGGUUCUUUUCUUUUUUACAUGUGCAGACACUAUUCGUAAGGCUCACAUGAGGCCGGAGACAAAAGUACGGAUUAGCACACCAACAUUUUUUUUAUUAAACGUACAAGCAACAAUUUUUUUUAAACAAAUUAAAAAGGAAUUUUCAAUAUUAUUUGCUUUGUUCAAACUCCUGAUAAAGAUCCACCAGCGGACAAUAAAAUAAAGGAUUAAUACUCUAAAAAAUCCCAAACCGGUAUACCUGUGACAAAUUUACCUAAAACUAUUCUUUUGACCACAAAAAAAUCCCAAACUAGUAUAUAUUUGAUAAAUUUACCCCAAACCGGUACAUUUAUGGCAAAUUUUUUCCUUAUUAGUUCUCGUUAAAUUUUACAAUCAAAUUAUUAAUUCAAAUGACACGUGACAAUUGAUUUGAGAUUUUAUGCUCCGUUUGUCACAGUUUACAAUUUUUGUGAUUUUUUUUUGUAUUAAUCCAAUUUAGCGAAGAGUAUAUUUGUCACAAAUUUACCAGUUUGGGAUUUUUUUCAAUCGAAUAAAUUAGUUUUUGGUAAAUUUGUCAUAAAUGUACCAGUUUAUGGUUUUUUAUUAUCAGUUGGGUUAAAUUUGUCACAUGUAUAUUAGUUUUGGGUUUUCAUGAUCAAAAAAAUAAUUUAUGGUAAAUUUGUCACAAGUAUACCAGUUUUGAGUUUUUUUGAAUAUUAACCCUAAAAUAAAACAAUCAGCUAGCCCGUCCUUAUCACCCCAUCUUCCACAUCCAAUUUUUUACAAGAAUAUUUUUAAAAAAAUCAAGUAAAAUCCUUUAUUUUAAUUUAAAAUUAACACUUGUCAUCUGCGGUAUAAAUAGUCCUCUCGUGAAGGGCUGCCAAGUGCCGGCUGAGCUUCCUUUCCAUAAAAGAUAUAUACACAAACGCUGCAAGUAUCAACCCAAAGGCCAAAAUCAAUUUUUCUAUAAUUUUGAAAUAUUAGGUAACCAAAAAUAAUAUGGAGAAGAUUAAUUAAUUUCGAAGAUGACCCGUAAUAAUUACUUUUUUAAUACCUAAUUUCUCACUUUUCAAUUAAUAAGACUUACCUUUGCUAUAAUUAAAUAAGUGUCUAAAUCGAGAUUCACAUUUUGUUUGUUAUAAUUAAUAAUAUGUGACUGACAAAAUUUUUCGAUCGGGCUAGGUUCUUGAAUGCCGGCAUAUUCGGCAAUGGGACUGAGUCGUGCCACACUCUGCCCCACUCGACGACCCGGGCCGCAAUGCUCGUGAGGAUCAACACCCUCCUCCAGGGCUACUCAGGCAUCCGGUUCGAGAUCCUGGAGACCAUGGCCAAGCUCCUCAACCGCAACAUCACCCCAUGCCUGCCUCUCAGGGGUACCGUCACAGCCUCGGGCGACCUGGUCCCCUUGUCCUACAUCGCCGGGCUUCUGACGGGCAGGCCCAACUCGAAGGCGGUCGGGCCAAACGGCGAGUCCCUGAACGCCGUCGAGGCCUUCCGCCUUGCUGGGAUCGAGCACGGGUUCUUUGACCUGCAGCCCAAAGAGGGCCUCGCGAUCGUGAAUGGCACGGCAGUCGGGUCUGGGCUCGCUUCCAUUGUCCUGUUCGAGGCGAACAUCCUGGCCGUCCUCUCAGAGGUUCUGUCGGCGAUCUUCGCCGAGGUGAUGCAAGGGAAUCCGGAGUUCACCGACCACUUGACCCACAAGCUCAAGCACCAUCCCGGACAAAUUGAAGCUGCAGCUAUAAUGGAGCACAUCUUGGAUGGGAGCUCCUACGUGAAGGACGCUCAAAAGCUCCACGAGAUCGACCCUCUCCAGAAGCCGAAGAAGGACCGAUACGCGCUCCGCACGUCCCCGCAGUGGCUCGGCCCCCAGAUCGAAGUGAUCAGGGCCGCCACCAAAAUGAUCGAGAGGGAGAUCAACUCUGUCAAUGACAACCCGCUGAUCGACGUCUCCAGGAACAAGGCUCUCCAUGUAGGGAACUUCCAGGGGACCCCGAUUGGCGUUUCCAUGGACAACACCCGUCUCGCCAUCGCCUCCAUCGGCAGGCUCAUGUUCGCGCAGUUCUCCGAGCUCGUCAACGACUUCUACAACAACGGGCUGCCCUCUAACCUGUCCGGGGGACGGAACCCAAGCCUGGAUUACGGCUUCAAGGGAGCUGAGAUCGCCAUGGCCUCAUACUGCUCGGAGCUGCAGUUCCUUGCCAACCCUGUGACCAACCAUGUCCAGAGCGCGGAGCAACACAACCAGGACGUGAACUC
rnacentral:lncRNA from 1 species